GGCGCACGGGUGAGUAACGCGUAUGCAACCUACCCUGUACAGGGGGAUAGCCCGGAGAAAUUCGGAUUAAUACCCCAUAAAGAUAUUGAGUGGCAUCAUUUGAUAUUUAAAGUUUCGGCGGUACGGGAUGGGCAUGCGUAACAUUAGCUAGUUGGUAGGGUAACGGCCUACCAAGGCGACGAUGUUUAGGGGUCCUGAGAGGGUGAUCCCCCACACUGGUACUGAGACACGGACCAGACUCCUACGGGAGGCAGCAGUGAGGAAUAUUGGUCAAUGGGCGAGAGCCUGAACCAGCCAUCCCGCGUGAAGGAAGAACGCCCUAUGGGUUGUAAACUUCUUUUCCAGGGGAAUAAAAUGUCGCACGUGUGCGGCACUGAAGGUACCCUGGGAAUAAGCAUCGGCUAACUCCGUGCCAGCAGCCGCGGUAAUACGGAGGAUGCGAGCGUUAUCCGGAUUUAUUGGGUUUAAAGGGUGCGUAGGCGGAUUAAUAAGUCAGUGGUGAAAACCUGCAGCUUAACUGUAGACUUGCCAUUGAUACUGUUAGUCUUGAGUAC
rnacentral:rRNA from 1 species